AACUUUCGACAACGGAUCUCUUGGCACUUGCAACGAUGAAGAACACAGCGAAAUGCGAUAAGUAAUGUGAAUUGCAGAAUUCAGUGAAUCAUCGAAUCUUUGAACGCACCUUGCGCCCUUUGGUAUUCCAAAGGGCACACCUGUUUGAGUGUCACUAAUCCUUCAACUCUUGCAUUUUCUUUAUUGAAGUGUUGAUGGUUGGAUGUUGAGCGUUGCUGGACAAGUUCUGUUCAGCUCGCUUUAAAUUGAUGAGCAGGCUCCCACUUCUUUGGACUGACUUGACGUGAUAAGAAAUUUCGUUGAGGACGCUUUACAGCGGCCAAAUUUUGGGGAAAUGCCGCUACUAGUUCACCCUAAUACUUUAGACCUCAAAUCAGGUGGGACUACCCGCUGAACUUAAGCAUAUCAAUAAGCGGAGGCU
rnacentral:misc_RNA from 1 species